UGUCCCUGACCUGGGUAGAGUGACAUCUGGUUGGUGAUGCCCAUUUCGUAUCAGCCAGGGCAAGGCAACCCCUUGUUUAUCUCAGUUUGGCUUCUGGUCUGUGCCCAUGCCUGGUUCAUGCCUUGGAGACAUGG
rnacentral:snoRNA from 1 species